CUAAGUAUAAAGAUACCUAAGCAUUGCUAUUGACGAAGUGAACUAAAUCAAAGUGUGCAAUGGCUUGUCCAGGAUGCAAAAACGGAGGAAGUGCUUUCAAGUGCGACAAAUGUGGAGUCAUACAAUGCAAGAACAAGUCCUGUACACACCACAGCCCCAAGGCCGGGAGCGGAUGUGCAUCCUGUGGAAAGUCGGGGGGACAGAAAAAGGUGUAAAAUGAAGAGUCUUACUGCACAUCAUACUUAGACGGGCAGCCAGCGUUUAAUGUUUUGUACAUUAUGUGUUGUUCUAGCGUAAAAUAAAAAAAAUGGUGAUACUAAA